GACGAACGCUGGCGGCGUGCUUAACACAUGCAAGUCGAGCGGUAAGGCCCUUUCGGGGUACACGAGCGGCGAACGGGUGAGUAACACGUGGGUGACCUGCCCUCAGCUCUGGGAUAAGCCUGGGAAACCGGGUCUAAUACCGGAUAUGACUCCAUGACGCAUGUUGUGGGGUGGAAAGCCUUGUGCGGCUGAGGAUGGGCCCGCGGCCUAUCAGCUUGUUGGUGGGGUGAGGCCUACCAAGGCGACGACGGGUAGCCGGCCUGAGAGGGCGACCGGCCACACUGGGACUGAGACACGGCCCAGACUCCGUACGGGAGGCAGCAGUGGGGAAUCUUGCGCAAUGGGCGAAAGCCUGACGCAGCGACG
rnacentral:rRNA from 1 species